rnacentral:rRNA from 1 species
UACAGAGGUCUCAAGCGUUGUUCGGAAUCACUGGGCGUAAAGCGUGCGUAGGCUGUUUCGUAAGUCGUGUGUGAAAGGCGCGGGCUCAACCCGCGGACGGCACAUGAUACUGCGAGACUAGAGUAAUGGAGGGGGAACCGGAAUUCUCGGUGUAGCAGUGAAAUGCGUAGAUAUCGAGAGGAACACUCGUGGCGAAGGCGGGUUCCUGGACAUUAACUGACGCUGAGGCA